CUGGUUGAUCCUGCCAGUAGUCAUAUGCUUGUCUCAAAGAUUAAGCCAUGCAUGUCUAAGUAUAAACAACUCUAUACUGUGAAACUGCGAAUGGCUCAUUAAAUCAGUUAUAGUUUAUUUGAUGGUACCUUACUACAUGGAUAACUGUGGUAAUUCUAGAGCUAAUACAUGCUGAAAAGCCCCGACUUCUGGAAGGGGUGUAUUUAUUAGAUAAAAAACCAAUGGCGGGCAACCGUCUUGCGUUGAUUCAUAAUAACUUCUCGAAUCGCAUGGCCUUGCGCCGGCGAUGCUUCAUUCAAAUAUCUGCCCUAUCAACUUUCGAUGGUAGGAUAGAGGCCUACCAUGGUUAUGACGGGUAACGGGGAAUAAGGGUUCGAUUCCGGAGAGAGGGCCUGAGAAACGGCCCUCAGUCCUAAGGGACGCAGCAGGCGCGCAAAUUAUCCCAUCCCGACACGGGGAGAUAGUGACAAUAAAUAACAAUAUAGGGCCCUAAUGGGUCUUAUAAUUGGAAUGAGUACAAUUUAAAUCCCUUAACGAGGAUCAAUUGGAGGGCAAGUCUGGUGCCAGCAGCCGCGGUAAUUCCAGCUCCAAUAGCGUAUAUUAAAGUUGUUGCCGUUAAAAAGCUCGUAGUCGAACUUCGGCCUUUGCCGCCCGGUCCGCCUAUUUGGGCGUGUACUGGAGCGGUGGAGGCUUACCUCGUGGUGAACGGCCAUGCUCUUUACUGGGUGUGGUCCGAGAACCAUGACUUUUACUUUGAAAAAAUUAGAGUGUUCAAAGCAGGCUUACGCCCGAAUACAUUAGCAUGGAAUAAUAAAAUAGGACGUGCGGUUCUAUUUUGUUGGUUUCUAGGAUCGCCGUAAUGAUUAAUAGGGAUAGUUUGGGGGCAUUCGUAUUCAAUUGCUAGAGGUGAAAUUCUUGGAUUUAUUGAAGACGAACUACUGCGAAAGCAUUUGCCAAGGAUGUUUUCAUUGAUCAAGAACGAAGGUUAGGGGAUCGAAAACGAUCAGAUACCGUUGUAGUCUUAACAGUAAACGAUGCCGACUAGGGAUCGGACGAGGAUUUUUAAUGACUCGUUCGGCACCUGAAGAGAAAUCUUUAAGUCUAGGUUCGGGGGGGAGUAUGGUCGCAAGGCUGAAACUUAAAGGAAUUGACGGAAGGGCACCACCAGGUGUGGAGCCUGCGGCUUAAUUUGACUCAACACGGGGAAACUCACCAGGUCCAGACACGACAAGGAUUGACAGAUUGAUAGCUCUUUCUUGAUUUCGUGGUUGGUGGUGCAUGGCCGUUCUUAGUUGGUGGAGUGAUUUGUCUGGUUAAUUCCGAUAACGAACGAGACCUUAUCCUGCUAAAUAGCCCGGCCGACUUUGGUUGGUCGCUGGCUUCUUAGAGGGACUAUCAGCGUUUAGCUGAUGGAAGUUUGAGGCAAUAACAGGUCUGUGAUGC
rnacentral:rRNA from 1 species